GGAUCGGAUGCAUAUGUGUCUUGAAGAACCGAGGAAGAAGUAUGUCAGCAUGGGGAAGAAAGCUGUGUAGAGGCCAUAGCUCGGAGGCAGCGAGGCCAGCAGAGAGAAGGCCAGUCCUGAGUGGGACCACAACAAAACAACAAACA